rnacentral:rRNA from 1 species
GACGAACGCUGGCGGCGUGCUUAACACAUGCAAGUCGAACGGACCUUCGGGUUAGUGGCGAACGGGUGAGUAACACGUGGGUGAUCUGCCCUGCACUUUGGGAUAAGCCUGGGAACCUGGGUCUAAUACCGAAUAGGAUCAUGGCCUUCCUGGGUUGUGGUUGAAAGCUUUUGCAGUGUGGGAUGGGCCCGCGGCCUAGCAGGUUGUUGGUGGGGUAAUGGCCUACCAAGGCGACGACGGGUAGCCGGCCUGUGAGGGUGACCGGCCACACUGGGACUGAGAUACGGCCCAGACUCCUACGGGAGGCAGCAGUGGGGAAUAUUGCACAAUGGGCGCAAGCCUGAUGCAGCGACGCCGCGUGAGGGAUGACGGCCUUCGGGUUGUAAACCUCUUUCAGCACAGACGAAGCGUAAGUGACGGUAUGUGCAGAAGAAGGACCGGCCAACUACGUGCCAGCAGCCCGCCGUAACAC